UUAGGUACCUGGCAGGGGCAAUACAAUGAUCAAGGAGGUGGUUUGCUCAAUGUGUGGUUCAGCAGUUUCCCUCGGGCUGUGCUGAAUUUUGCUAAUUCCCUAAAUGCGGGAAUCUCGACUGCAUAAUUUCUGAUAGUGGGGGACUGUGUUCGUGCUCCCCCCCC